rnacentral:lncRNA from 1 species
GGGAAUCAUCGCUGAUGGCACACAGCUGUGAAGUUAAAUCCCCACAGAGGGAGGUCUGGAGGAGCAGCCACAAUGCCCCACCUCCCGCAGAGACCAUAUAGAGCCAGGCCAGCAAAGCUGCUGUACUUCAGUAUGGUCCCUAAAAGGUGCCCCAGGCUGAGAUGAAUCAUAGCAGGUGCACAGCUGUGCUCUACUGAUGACUUUGCCUUUACAGCCUGCAGCAUCAUGGGGCCACACAGAUGCUUCAGUCCCAGCUGCUGGUGGGAGAAGGUCCAAGAUCUUGCCUCUGGCUUGGAGUCUUUCAGAAUGAUUGCCCGCAGAAGAACAAGAAGGCAGAGGCCACCAAAACGGCUUUCUGGCAUGAUUUACUUGCUGCAAUGCCUGUGACAAUGUGCAUUAAUUUCACCGGGGGUGAACAGAAAUGCACAGAGGCUAUUGAAUGUUGGGUUGUCCCUAGGCAUGUCUGAAUUGAAUCCCGAAGGACAUGACCUGGCCUUGGUAUCCACAGAGUGUUGGAGGUUGAGGUUCCAGGAUGAACCUGGGGUCAGCUUUAAUUCCUCAAGGGAGGCUGGACUAGGCUCCUCUGGGAAAACACCCAGACAGAAUAUGGGCUCCCAGUUAUAAGGAUCCUUCAUAAAAGACAGAAGUCUCUUGAAGAAACUUAACCCCCAACAUAACCAACCUUACUAUAAUUUUUUAACCAUAAAUGAUUUAAAGAGCAGCUAGUCCAUAA